rnacentral:rRNA from 1 species
CGCGUGGGAACCUGCCCCUGGGUACGGGACAACGUCUGGAAACGGGCGCUAAUACCGUAUACGUCCUUCGGGAGAAAGAUUUAUCGCCCUGGGAGGGGCCCGCGUCCGAUUAGCUUGUUGGUGGGGUAAUGGCCUACCAAGGCGACGAUCGGUAGCUGGUCUGAGAGGAUGAUCAGCCACACUGGGACUGAGACACGGCCCAGACUCCUGCGGGAGGCAGCAGUAGGGAAUAUUGGACAAUGGGGGCAACCCUGAUCCAGCAAUGCCGCGUGUGUGAUGAAGGCCUUAGGGUUGUAAAGCACUUUCACUGGUGAAGAUGAUGACGGUAUCCAGAGAAGAAGCCCCGGCUAACUCCGUGCCAGCAGCCGCGGUAAUACGGAGGGGGCAAGCGUUGUUCGGAAUUACUGGGCGUAAAGGGCGUGCAGGCUGUGAUUUAAGUUGGGCGUGAAAGCCCCGGGCUCGACCCCGGAAUUGCGCUUGAUACUGGAUCACUU